GCCUCAGUAACGGCGAGUGAAGCGGCAACAGCUCAAAUUUGAAAUCUGGCGCAAGCCCGAGUUGUAAUUUGUAGAGGAUGCUUCAGGGCAGCGGCCGGUCUAAGUUCCUUGGAACAGGACGUCAUAGAGGGUGAGAAUCCCGUAUGCGACCGGUUGGCACCCGUCACGUAGCUCCUUCGACGAGUCGAGUUGUUUGGGAAUGCAGCUCUAAAUGGGAGGUAAAUUUCUUCUAAAGCUAAAUACCGGCCAGAGACCGAUAGCGCACAAGUAGAGUGAUCGAAAGAUGAAAAGCACUUUGGAAAGAGAGUUAAAAAGCACGUGAAAUUGUUGAAAGGGAAGCGCAUGCAACCAGACUUGUCGGCGGUGUUCCGCCGGUCUUCUGACCGGUCUACUCGCCGCCGGCAGGCCAGCAUCAUCUGGGCGCGCCGGACAAAGGCGUGGGGAAUGUGGCUCCUCGGAGUGUUAUAGCCCCGCGCACAAUACGGCGCCGCUCGGGUGAGGUCCGCGCUUCGGCUAGGAUGCUGGCGUAAUGGUUGUAUGCGGCCCGUCUUGAAACACGGACCAAGGAGUCUAACAUCUAUGCGAGUGUUCGGGUGUCAAACCCCUACGCGUAAUGAAAGUGAACGGAGGUGGGAAGCGCAAGCUGCACCAUCGACCGAUCCUGAUGUCUUCGGAUGGAUUUGAGUAAGAGCAUAGCUGUUGGGACCCGAAAGAUGGUGAACUAUGCCUGAAUAGGGUGAAGCCAGAGGAAACUCUGGUG
rnacentral:rRNA from 1 species